rnacentral:rRNA from 1 species
UACGUAGGGGGCGAGCGUUGUCCGGAAUGAUUGGGCGUAAAGGGCGCGUAGGCGGCCGUUUAAGUCUGGAGUGAAAGUCCUGUUUUCAAGAUGGGAAUUGCUUUGGAUACUGGACGGCUUGAGUGCAGGAGAGGUUAUCGGAAUUCCCGGUGUAGCGGUGAAAUGCGUAAAGAUCGGGAGGAACACCAGUGGCGAAGGCGGGUAACUGGACUGCAACUGACGCUGAGGCACGAAAGCGUGGGGAUCAAAC